CAGCUGGUUGGCUAAAUACAGUAAGACCCAGAUUUAUAACACAUCCUGUACUGUGUUAUGGUCUCUCAUUAGCCCUUAAAUAAAUUGUUUACCUUGACUUCCAAACCCGUCAUACCAUAAUUUCUUUAUAUAUAUAUAUAUAUGCAAGCUCCAAAAUGAUUAAACAAGGCAAUUUUUUUGGUGAAGGUAUUUAAUGAACCAACAAGCCACCUGAUUUAAACUCAAUUUUUCCAAAAGAUUAUUUAUUUUAUGUCUAUGGGAAACGAAACUGUCUACGAAGAUGUCCAUUCAGUCUCCGUAAAAAAAAGAAUAAGCCUAGUGGACGUAUUUCUUAAAUGUACAGAUUUAUUUAUGAAUGAGUCAUAAUUUCAUAUACGUUUACAAAAAAUACCCAUUCUUUCGCUAUUCUCUUCUUUCAUGAGACAUUUAUGCUGAUAAUACGAUUGCAAGGCUUACAAACACGUCAAUGUUAUUCACAGAGUUACAAAAAGGUUGAUGCAUUUUUUUCUCCUUAUUAUAAAGCAAGUCGGUGUGCAGAAUCUGACCUCAAAGGCAAUCCUUGAUGCUUCGUUGGGGAGGAAUGUGGCUGUUGUCCAAGAACGGUACCUCUUUUUAACCCAAAUGUUCCGAGCUAGUUAACAACAGGACCCAGUCGUACUGGAGAAGGCAGACCUCAGCCCAUGAGAAUUGACUGACCUCAUCAUUUGAUGGAUGAGUGACACAUCUGUUACACCCUCUAGAAUCCAGGAUGUCGUGUCCUCCACUGUAUGCACCUGGGCCCCAGAGGGAGGCCAAUAGGUGUUGGUUGCCCGAAACAAUGAAUGCAAAUGAUAAAUAACCAGGGGUCUCGAUCCUUUCUUCAGCCUGUUUCACACGCUCAAACACAGAAAAACAACAAAUACCGAAAGAGCCCGACAAUGGUCCUCAUUGAUAUCUUGAGACUCAAGCUCUGGGAGCUUUUAGACAAGGAGAGAAGCAAGGACCCGUGAACGGAUGUGGGUGUGGGGAGGGCUGGAGGCCUCGACAGAAGGGGGACACCGCCGAUGCCCACCUGCCAAACUACGGGCGGGGCUGAUGAGCUUCAAAGAGCAAAAGACCCAGAAUGGACGGCUGACGUCUCCAUCCCAGCCCUUUCCCCACAUCCGGAGAUCCGUGCUGGCAGCCCACACAGGUGGGUAAAUAACAGCCCACCUUUGAAGUGGGAGAGACUUGCGUGGAACCUGACUUUGCCCGCAAGCAGCAGCUCCUAACACCGCUACGAGUGACAAGAUUAAGUAUUCUCAUUCUGCGGGUAACUAUCCUAAGAGCUUUUGUUAGCGCCGCUGCAAGGCAGACUGAAGACAUCCUAAUUUUUCGGCGGAGGGAACUUUAUGGAUGAGGUCCACGCCGUCUACAAUAUCAGGGCUUCUCGACUUUCUGAGGUCAACACAAAAAUGCAAGCAAAGCCCUUUCCAAGCUUCUCUAUAAAAGCACGCAUUUUUGGAAGCACUGGAGCAUGUGCAUCGCCUGAGAUGGGGAAAGGCUUCUAAACAGGGAGGAGUCGUCGCUCAUGGCAAGGAGGAAGACUGCCUUCAGUUCCUUCCAAGCUGUCGGAAAGGAUCUAAGGAGAUUCUCUGCCGAAGAGCAGUUUUACCCUGCGGUUAAACUGAGCUCUCACAUCAAAGCAGUUAUACAUUUUGGAAAGACGAUAAAAAAAAAAAAAAACAGUUCACAAAUUCAUGGCAUUCACUCACGUGGAAGAACGAAAGGGGAGUAUCUGAUAAGGAGGAGCAUCUUCUGAGGGGGAGUAUCUGGUGUGUGGGGAGGCGGAGUAUCUGAUGCAGGGGAGAAUCUGAUACAGAGGAGUAUCUGCUGAGGAGGAGUAUCUGAUACAGAGGAUAUCUGAUACAGAGGAGUAUCUGCUGAGGGGGAGUAUCUGAUGCAGGGAGUAUCUGAUACAGAGAAGUAGCUGAUGAGGAGGAGUAUCUGAUACAGAGGAGUAUCUGCUGAGGGGGAGUAUCUGAUGUAGGGAGUAUCUGAUACAGAGAAGUAGCUGAUGAGGAGGAGUAUCUGAUGGGGAGUAUCUGAUGCAGGGAGUAUCUGAUACAGAGAAGUAGCUGAUGAGGAGGAGUAUCUGAUACAGAGGAGUAUCUGCUGAGGGGGAGUAUCUGAUGCAGGGAGUAUCUGAUACAGAGAAGUAGCUGAUGAGGAGGAGAUAUGAG
ensembl:lncRNA